GUGGAAGAUCUGAUGUCUAAACUUGGUGUUCAAGAGAUAGAACUUCAUCAGAGAAAUGAAGACACUGAAGCACCGAUUACCAAAAUAGGACAACAAACGGAAAAACUUAGCCAAGAAAAAGUCACAGUGGAUGAUAAGAAGCAAAUUAGCCUACUGUGGAAGAGCCCUGACCCCAGAGAGCCCCAGGGCUGACCAGGCCAGUUGGAGCACGCCCGGCCGGGGCCGGCAGCGUGGGAGCGCGGGGCGUGAGAGUGGUGGCGUGGCCGCAGCAGGGAUGAGAGCCCCAGAGGCAAACCCCACGCGGUGCUUGGUGGCCCGCACCUUAAUUAACUUCCCCAGGUGUGGCAAAGAGCCGGGCGGCUCAAAAGUGGUGCUGGCGCACAGCUUAAGGAGACCAGAAGAGCCGGAGGAGGAGGAGGAGCUUCCCGGCAGGGAAGUGGCACGAGGGAGGACGGCAGAUCGGCACCCGGCAAGGGUCUUCUGGAGCUGGGUAGGGCCCCGUAGGGGCAGGACACGAGGGACAGAGGUCCCUGUGGGCCAUUGACCAGAUUGUGAAGGCCGGGGUGGGGGAGCUCCCCAUCCCAGCCCCAAGCAGCGAGGCCCGUAGCCAGAAGCGGCAGAGGCGGGCCGGCCCGUGUGGUACUGGGCAGAAAACACAGCCCAGGCAGGAGCGGCGUGCUCUCGCCGCCCAGAGGGAACCCCAAUUGGGGAACACAGGCCUCCAGCAGGAGGCAGACGGGACUCACCAAGAAACCUGAGCCAGCCCCGGCGGGGAGCUGGUGGAGCGGCUCGUGUGUCGCUAACGGGACAAUUUUUUUUCGAGGAACUACCCCACCUCAGCUGAGGAGAGGGGGGGCCCCCCCUUUCGACUCAGUACGGAGGCCUGGGCGAGGGUGUAGGGGAGGCAGGAGCCCUCAAGGACCCCGGACCGGACUGGACAGGAGGUACUGCUUUUGGACAUGCGCACGCCAGGGAAUUCACUGGACCUAAUAACAGCAAAGUCGUGGCAGGAGGACUUGGCAAGAGCAUACCAGGAGCGGGAGCCACCCCUGGAUCAGGAGGGCAAGCCCCACAGCGAUCUGCGGGCACCCAAACUCGCACCAUUGCGGGCAGGCCCGCGGACACCUACCAAACUUUUAGCUUAACACAUGCUAUUACUAUUGUUCUGUGACAACUCUAGCAAGUGCUAUUAUUAUUAAACCAGUUCAUACUAGACUAGUCCAGGCAACUGCAACCUUAUAACUUUGAGUCUUUCAACCUUGCUUGCACAUGUUUAUUUCAGACAAGUAAAGCCAUUAGGAGUGGUAUUGGGGUUAUGUACCCCACCAUGUACAAGAUAUUCUAACUUUCUUUUGUUUGUAUGUAAUUCCCCAAAUAAUGUGCCUGGGCCAAAAGGAAAACAACCUCUAUUCACUUUUUCUGUGGUUUGGAAAAUGUUAGUUCCCCCCUGCACUUCAUUUUGCUGAGCAGGCAUGAUGGUAACAUUGCUGAUGUCCCAGAUACACUGGUGAUAUUCUUAAUCACUUUGUUUUGUUACCUGUAUG
rnacentral:lncRNA from 1 species